rnacentral:rRNA from 1 species
UUAGAGUUUGAUCCUAGCUCAGGAUGAACGCUGGCGGCGUGGAUAAGGCAUGCAAGUCGAGCGCCCCGCAAGGGGAGCGGCAGACGAGGUAGUAAUAAGCAGGUAACGUACCCUAGAGUCAGGCAUAGCUCAUCGAAAGGUGAGGUAAUUCCCGAUAGUCCGAAUACAUAAUUGUGGGUUCACGAAGUGAAUCCAGAAUUAUGUAUUUGGUAAAGUCGCAAGACGCUCUUUGAACGGCCUGCUCGGUAUCAGCUAGUUGGUGAGGUAAAAGCUCACCAAGGCUAUGACGCCUAGGGGACCUGAGAGGGUGACCCCCACCGAUGGAACUGAGAUACGGUCCAUACACCUACGGGUGGCUGCAGUCGAGAAUCUUCCGCAAUGGACGAAAGUCUGACGGAGCGACGCCGCGUGCAGGAUGAAGUCCUUCGGGAUGUAAACUGCUUUUGUGGGAUAGAAAGUUUAUUGAUCAUCCCAAGAAUAAGAGGUUACUAAACUCGUGCCAGCAGUAGCGGUAAUACGAGUGCCUCAAGCGUUAUCCGGAAUUACUGGGCGUAAAGGGUGUGUAGGUGGCUAUAUUAGUCUUCUGUCAAAUUCUUCGGCUUAACCGGGGGUCCGCAGAAGAAACGGUAUGGCUGGAGGAUGCAAGAGGUUUGCGGAACUCAUGGUGUAGGGGUGAAAUCCGUUGAUAUCAUGGGGAACACCGAAAGCGAAGGCAGCAAACUGGUGCAUUCCUGACACUGAAACACGAAAGCGUGGGUAGCGAAUGGGAUUAGAUACCCCAGUAGUCCACGCCCUAAACGAUGAUCAUUGGCUUUUCAGAGUAUCGACCCUCCGAGAGGCGAAGCUAACGCGAUAAAUGAUCCGCCUGGGUAGUACGACCGCAAGGUUAAAACUCAAAGGAAUAGACGGGGACUUGCACAAGCGGUGGAUUGUGUGGUUUAAUUCGAUGGUAAGCGAAGAACCUUACCAAGGUUAGAAAUCCAGACGAAGACAAGCAGAAACGUUUGUCGUCUCACAAGGACGUCUGGACAGGUGCUGCAUGGUCGUCGUCAGUUCGUGGUUUGAAUUGUUCCCUUAAGUGGGGUAACGAACGCAACCCUCGUUGCCUGUUAUAUUUGUCAGGCGAGACUGCCCCGCACUUUGUUUUCGAAUCUUUCGAAAAUAAAGUGCGGGGAGGAAGGCGAGGAUGACGCCAGAUCAGCAUGGCCCUCUGAUACCUUGGGCAACACACGCAAUACAAUGGCUACUACAACACGUCUGCGACGGGGUAACCCUGAGCUAAUCGUUAUAAAAGUAGCCCCAGUUCAGAUUGAGGUCUGCAACUCGACCUCAUGAAGUUGGAAUCGCUAGUAAUCGCGGGUCAGCAAACCGCGGUGAAUACGUUCUCAAGUCUUGUACUCACCGCCCGUCAAGCCAAGGGAGCCGGGGGUACCCGAAAUCUCGCUUUAUGCGGGCCUAAGGUAAAUUCGGUGACAGGGGCUAAGUCGUAACAAGGCACGGGUAGCGGAAGCUGCUCGUGGAACA